rnacentral:rRNA from 1 species
CGCUAGCUACAGGCUUAACACAUGCAAGUCGAGGGGCAGCAUUGGGAUAGCUUGCUAUUCAGAUGGCGACCGGCGCACGGGUGAGUAACGCGUAUCCAACCUUCCUGCCAGUAGGGAACAGCCCGGCGAAAGUCGGAUUAAUGCCCUAUGUUCUUCAAUGCGGACAUCUAAGUUGAAGGAAAGAUUCAUCGCUGGCAGAUGGGGAUGCGUCCGAUUAGCUUGCCGGCGGGGUAACGGCCCACCGGGGCGACGAUCGGUAGGGGUUCUGAGAGGAAGGUCCCCCCACACUGGUACUGAGACACGGACCAGACUCCUACGGGAGGCAGCAGUGAGGAAUAUUGGUCAAUGGGCGUAAGCCUGAACCAGCCAAGUAGCGUUGCAGGACGACGGCCCUACGGGUUGUAAACUGCUUUUAUGCGGGGAUAAAGUGCGGCACGUGUGCCGCUUUGCAGGUACCGCAUGAAUAAGGACCGGCUAAUUCCGUGCCAGCCGCCGC